rnacentral:rRNA from 1 species
AUGAAGGGCGACGGCUGCCACAGUUGGGCAGGUGGCGCCUGUUGCGGUUGGACAAAGGGGACGACAGCACGUCGGGUUCCACCGCGGCUCCGCGUCCUCUGGAUUCUCCAGCUCCUCGAGCUCCGGGGUGGUGACGUUUGUUACUGGUGGGCCAUGAGCACGGCUGACAAACAACGUUUGUCGCCACAGGUCGUGCUCACCCUGGAAUCAUAUGUCCCAAAGCGAGGAGUCCACGACACACCUAGAGUGGUCGACGAUGUCCGGAGGCAGUCGGGCCCUGUGGCGGUUGAUCUCGAGCUGAUGAGCGCGGCCGCUCGCUAG